AGAGUUUGAUCCUGGCUCAGAGUGAACGCUGGCGGCAGGCCUAACACAUGCAAGUCGAACGGCAGCACAGCAGUAGCAAUACUGUGGGUGGCGAGUGGCGGACGGGUGAGGAAUGCGUCGGAAUCUGCCUUUUUGUGGGGGAUAACGUAGGGAAACUUACGCUAAUACCGCAUACGACCUACGGGUGAAAGUGGGGGACCUUCGGGCCUCACGCAGAAAGAUGAGCCGACGCCGGAUUAGCUAGUUGGCGGGGUAAAGGCCCACCAAGGCGACGAUCCGUAGCUGGUCUGAGAGGAUGAUCAGCCACACUGGGACUGAGACACGGCCCAGACUCCUACGGGAGGCAGCAGUGGGGAAUAUUGGACAAUGGGCGCAAGCCUGAUCCAGCCAUGUCGCGUGUGUGAAGAAGGCCUUCGGGUUGUAAAGCACUUUUGUCCGGAAAAGAAAAGCUUCGGGUUAAAUAAACCUGGAGUCAUGACGGACCGGAA
rnacentral:rRNA from 1 species